GGGUUUGUGUGUUCUAAACUUCAGUAUCUUGGGUUUGAGGAGUGAGAAAGAUGAGAGAGAUGAGCAAAAGAGUAUAAAUAGAAAUGAAAACUCUAGGGAUAAAAAGAAAAUAUGAAGCUCUUGAUUAUGCAACAAAAAACCUUCCCCCUAAUAAAAAAAAAGGGAAAGAAAGAGAAAGAAAAGAAAAAGAAUCAAAGAGAAGUUGGGGAAGGGAAUGAAAAAAGAGUUAGAGCUUGUAUAAAGUGAGUUAAAAUCCCUAGUGGUUGAGUCAAAAGAAAAAGAGAGUUGUUCAUUGGGUGAGUGAUGUGAGGGGUUUACUUUGAUUUUGAGAUGAUGAUAAAAAGGGGGUAGAACUUGUGAUCACUUAUAACAAAAAGGGGUAGAAUGAUGAGAAUGAAUCUAUGUAUGCAUGAGUUGCUUCUAAUCUUAGAUAAAUUUUGCAUAAUGAUCAAGCUCAUUGUUUUGAGUGAUAACCACCUUUAAAUGAAAACAUUUGAACCCAUCUCUUCAUUCACAUUAGACCAUGCUUAUCUAGCCAAAUGAUUGAGAUCAUGUGCCCAUUUGUGAUAAUUUACCUUGUGUGUGUGUGUGAAUCAAUGUGAGAGCUGAUUGAAGGGACUUGUUGGAAAGAGUAUUGCAACUUGAGUAGAGGCAAAAGAGUAUGGAUAGGUCUAGAGAAGCUAGAGUAUAAUAAGGAGAAUGCUCAUGCUAUUUGCUAUGUUUCUUUAGGAUAUUAAGUUGAGUGCUAGGAAGUGUUACUUUUGGCUAUGAGUUCCCACCUUCAAACUUCUUUCCCUCAUGAGUUCUUAUAAAGUCACUUGAGGACAAGUAAAGAACAAGUUUGGGGG
rnacentral:lncRNA from 1 species